UAAGUAUGGCUGAUUGUUGAGUGAAGAC
rnacentral:piRNA from 1 species